UACGGGGGGGGCAAGCGUUGUCCGGAAUUAUUGGGCGUAAAGAGCUCGUAGGCGGUUUGUUGCGUCGGCUGUGAAAUCCCGAGGCUCAACCUCGGGUCUGCAGUCGAUACGAGCAAACUAGAGUGUUGCAGGGGAGACUGGAAUUCCUGGUGUAGCGGUGAAAUGCGCAGAUAUCAGGAGGAACACCGGUGGCGAAGGCGGGUCUCUGGGCAACAACUGACGCUGAGGAGCGAAAGCGUGGGGAGCGAACAGG
rnacentral:rRNA from 1 species